rnacentral:misc_RNA from 1 species
UCAAACCAUCAAUAGAUUUGG